UGAGGAAUAUUGGUCAAUGGGCGAGAGCCUGAACCAGCCAAGUAGCGUGCAGGAUGACGGCCCUAUGGGUUGUAAACUGCUUUUAUGUGGGGAUAAAGUGCGUGACGUGUCAUGCAUUGCAGGUACCACAUGAAUAAGGACCGGCUAAUUCCGUGCCAGCAGCCGCGGUAAUACGGAAGGUCCGGGCGUUAUCCGGAUUUAUUGGGUUUAAAGGGAGCGUAGGCUGUCUAUUAAGCGUGUUGUGAAAUUUACCGGCUCAACCGGUGGCUUGCAGCGCGAACUGGUCGACUUGAGUAUGCAGGAAGUAGGCGGAAUUCAUGGUGUAGCGGUGAAAUGCUGAGAUAUCAUGACGAACUCCGAUUGCGCAGGCAGCUUACUGUAGCAUAACUGACGCUGAUGCUCGAAAGUGCGGGUAUCAAACAGG
rnacentral:rRNA from 1 species